AUAUGUGAACCUGACGUUUUUGAAUCCACCGCGCAACUCGAACUGCGGAAGAUGGGAACGGUCAAUGUCGUGAUCAUAGAACAUAUAAUUUUGCUAAAACACAAGUUUAAAGGAUUUAACAGCGGUUAAAUAGUAAAAUAUGCCAAAUUAAUCAACAUUGCAUGAAUUUUAUUAAUUUUGGCUGUUUGACUGUUCCAACCCCGAUAAUUUACGACAUUACUCCCUAGCCGAUUUGCGACGCCAUGUUUUGUAGAGAAGGACGCAACGAUGCAUUUGCAAGGAAAAAAACAGUUUAUACGCCGAAAAUAGAUUAUACGGUUAUAUUUAGACGAAAAUAUACAGAUUGGUGCCGUUCGGUUUCAUGUAACAACUGCACAAGCGAUGUCACACUCACCCCGAAUGCAGUUCCACGAUGUACUUCAUUGUUUUUCACGUAUAGAGAAGGAAAAGAAUCAACAUAUGUCAGCAGUUAAAAUCCACCUACUCAACUCUAGAUAGCUGUUCCUGUGGAUCCAAAUGAAUGAAAAGAUCUCUGUGUGUUGCAAACAAUAGAAUGGGCUAAGAAUGGUAUUGUUGUGUCAAAGCCUGAAAUUUGCAUGGCACAGUUGUUAGAGCAGCUCUCUAUUUUCUCAAAGUAAGGAGCACUGUGGAACAUGGAGGCCAGUCCUUUGGAUGAAACUGCAUAAACUGAGAUCCCCUUGCAGUAGAUGUUGGCAUGAAAAAGAUCCCUCACAGCUCAACGUCCAUAAGUACCGAGUAUAGGUAUGAAGUUGCAGCCCUCCACCAGCAAGUGGUAGCGUCUUCAUAUGAGUGAAAAAAAUUCUUGAGAGGGACAUAACACAAAGCAAAGGCUGAAGUAUUUGCUUCAGAAAAGACCUACAACUACAGUGAUCAUUAUUUGAACAAAGUAUGUGACAAAAAAAGCUUGCAGUUGAAAG